rnacentral:rRNA from 1 species
AAGCGCUUGCAACCAGACUUGCAUGCGGUUAAUCAUCCGGGGUUCUCCCCGGUGCACUUGACCGUGUUCAGGCCAGCAUCGGUUCGGGCGGUGGGAUAAAGGCCUUGGGAAUGUAGCUUCUUUCGGGGAGUGUUAUAACCCAGGGUAUAAUACCCCUAAGGAGACCGAGGUUCGCGCUCUGCAAGGAUGCUGGCGUAAUGGU